ensembl:lncRNA
GACUGUAGGUCUAUAUCUAGCUACCCCCCUGUAUAUGACUGUAGGUCUAUAUCUAGCUACUGUUCUGUACAUGACUGUAGGUCUAUAUCUAGCUACCCCCCUGUAUAUGACUUUAGGUCUAUAUCUAGCUACCCCCCUGUAUAUGACUGUAGGUCUAUAUCUAGCUACUGUUCUGUAUAUGACUGUAGGUCUAUAUCUAGCUACUGUUCUGUAUCUGACUGUAGGUCUAUAUCUAGCUACCCCCCUGUAUAUGACUGUAGGUCUAUAUCUAGCUACCCCCCUGUAUAUGACUGUAGGUCUAUAUCUAGCUACCCCCCUGUAUAUGACUGUAGGUCUAUAUCUAGCUACCCCCCUGUAUAUGACUGUAGGUCUAUAUCUAGCUACUGUUCUGUAUCUGACUGUAGGUCUAUAUCUAACUACCCCCCUGUAUAUGACUGUAGGUCUAUAUCUAGCUACUGUUCUGUAUCUGACUGUAGGUCUAUAUCUAGCUACCCCCCUGUAUAUGACUGUAGGUCUAUAUCUAGUUACUGUUCUGUAUCUGACUGUAGGUCUAUAUCUAACUACCCCCCUGUAUAUGACUGUAGGUCUAUAUAUAGCUAC